rnacentral:piRNA from 2 species
UGAUGAGUGAGGUCAAAGUCAGAGUCAGA